rnacentral:rRNA from 1 species
CGGGAAUAUUGCGCAAUGGAGGAAACUCUGACGCAGUGACGCCGCGUAUAGGAAGAAGGUUUUCGGAUUGUAAACUAUUGUCGUUAGGGAAGAUACAAGACAGUACCUAAGGAGGAAGCUCCGGCUAACUACGUGCCAGCAGCCGCGGUAAUACGUAGGGAGCAAGCGUUAUCCGGAUUUAUUGGGUGUAAAGGGUGCGUAGACGGGACAACAAGUUAGUUGUGAAAUCCCUCGGCUUAACUGAGGAACUGCAACUAAAACUAUUGUUCUUGAGUGUUGGAGAGGAAAGUGGAAUUCCUAGUGUAGCGGUGAAAUGCGUAGAUAUUAGGAGGAACACCGGUGGCGAAGGCGACUUUCUGGACAAUAACUGACGUUGAGGCACGAAAGUGUGGGGAGCAAAC